GACCGACUGGCCAAGUGGUUAAGGCGUCCGUCUUACAUAUUGAGCACGGAAGGUCGCAGGUUCGAUCCCUGCGUCGGUCA
rfam:Penicillium antarcticum strain IBT 31811 PENANT_contig002, whole genome shotgun sequence.